UAACCUGCCCAAGAGAUCGGGAUAACACCUGGAAACAGAUGCUAAUACCGGAUAACAACAGAUGAUGCCUAUCAACUGUUUAAAAGAUGGUUCUGCUAUCACUCUUGGAUGGACCUGAGGUGCAUUAGCUAGUUGGUAGGGUAACGGCCUACCAAGGCGAUGAUGCAUAGCCGAGUUGAGAGACUGAUCGGCCACAUUGGGACUGAGACACGGCCCAAACUCCUACGGGAGGCAGCAGCC
rnacentral:rRNA from 1 species